rnacentral:rRNA from 1 species
CACGUAGGGCGCAAGCGUUGUCCGGAAUUAUUGGGCGUAAAGGGCGCGUAGGUGGUUCUGUAUGUCUACCGUGAAAGCGUACGGCUCAACCGUAUUUUGUCGGUAGAAACUGCAGGACUUGAGGCUGGGAGGGGCUGGUGGAAUUCCCGGUGUAGUGGUGGAAUGCGUAGAUAUCGGGAGGAACACCAGUGGCGAAGGCGGUUGCCUGGAGCUUUGCUGACGCUGAUGCGCGAAAGCGUGGGGAGCGAUCCGG